AAUGAACGCUGGCGGCGCGCCUAAUACAUGCAAGUCGGGCGAGAAGACGUAGCAAUACGUUUGUAAAGCGGCGAACGGGUGAGGAAUACAUGGGUAACCUACCCUCGAGUGGGGAAUAACUAGCCGAAAGGUUAGCUAAUACCGCGUACGCUCCUUGGACUUCGGUUCAGGGAGGAAAGCGAUACCGUGGGUAUCGCGCUCUUGGUUGGGCUCAUGUCCUAUCAGCUUGUUGGUGAGGUAACGGCUCACCAAGGCUUCGACGGGUAGCUGGUCUGAGAGGACGAUCAGCCACACUGGCACUGCGACACGGGCCAGACUCCUACGGGAGCAGCAGUAAGGAAUAUUGCGCAAUGGGCGAAAGCCUGACGCAGCGACGCCGCGUGGGGGAUGAAGGUC
rnacentral:rRNA from 1 species